GGGAAGGUUUCAUCCACACCCAGACAAUGACUAGAGUCUCUCUUGCACUUUUCCCCAACCGUCUAUUAUUUGCAAAGCCCUCAUGGAAGUGCCUUUUUCUACCUUUCUUCCCCUAUAUCCCUAUUCUCUAAUUUUAGCAAGUUAGAAAAGACCGUGGCACGCUGUGGAGGAGGAAGCUGGAAUACUUGUAAAUAACUGGCGGAUGCAAAGAUCCAAUUCAGCUGAAGGGAAAAAGAAGAAUGCAGGGUGCCGCGUGGUCCCUGCAUGGGUGUGCAUUCAGGGUCUGGCGCACAGAGGAGGGGACAACAGCAGAGAGGGCUGACCGGAACAAUGGGCCGUCACAAAUGCCAUGUUAUGUAACUGGGUUAUUUGAAUUCACAAUUGUGAAGGCCACAAUUGUAGGAGAAGGCGUGUCCCCCGGCUCUGUGGUGGGAGGGAAGCAGGCUCCUGUGCUCCCACCCAGGUGCCCUGGGAGCCGGCUCUGACCCUCCUGAUGAGGCCAACAGCUGCCACUCAGGAGAGAAGGGCUGGGUUGCUCCUGGCAUGGCAAAGGUGCCCAGUCACUGUGUGGAGCUGCACUUUUGGAUGGUGGUAACAAAAGCAGGCAAUGAGCGCAUCAGAUACCUUUCCUCAUACAGCAACGGGCCAUUGUGAAUGACCCGGAUAUUUCCAUUCACUGCAUACUCCUUGAGCUCAAGCGGUCUUCUCUGGGGCCUUCUAGAGAGUGCCUUCAGGCAGUAAUUCACACGUUGCACUGCUGGGUCGAAGGACAUGGACAUGAAUUUGCAGAAAUUCAUAGCUUCACAGGGAGUCAAGGAAAGCUGCUUGGGAGAGCUGAGCUUUGCAGGCAGCCUGGCCGUGGCCGUGGUAGAGACACCCAGGAUCACUCUGAAGCCUACUUUCCAUCGUGGUGGCUCGUGUGUAGCGCCUGAUGAACCGGGCAGGAGCAGUGAAAAGACAGGCUGUCCUGGGCCUGCCUCCCAGUUUCACGUGAGCGCCCUGUUUGUAAGCCCUGAGCUGUGGCGACUGCGACGCCCAAGAGUGCCAGGGUCGCCUUCCCCACCCCCUCAUCCUUGACCAUCCAGCUCCUCAAACCCAGCUGGGAUCUCCCUGCCUCUGUAACGCCCUCUUCAGGGUCCCUCCCCUAACCAGUCCCUCUUUGGUUACCAUGCCCUCUUUCCUGGGAUGUUUAUUAGUUCCUGCAGUCACUUCCCCCGCCCCCCUCUCCUGGUCUACUUGCAGACCUGCUCCCUCCCUGGAGUGUGCCCUGCCUGAGGGCCGAGGCCAGAUCUUUCCACUUCUUUGUCUUUCAUGUUCAGCUCUAAGGCGGCUUUAUAAUGUCCGAGUAAUAAGAGUCUUUUUCCUGGAUUCUGGGUGGUUGUAAAGAAGCUUCAGAAUCAGUAAGCUCACUUGGCGGCAGGUACAGGCUGAGUCCUCUCUUCCUUGCACUUGCGGUUGUGUUGCUGUUGUGUAUUUAAGCUGGACGUGCAGUCAGAGGCUUGGCUCUCAGUCUUCAGCGAUUCCACCUGUCUGGGCAGGUUCUGUUGGAGGUGAUUUGCAAUUCUUAUUGGAGAGCUUUCCAGGCAGGAAGGGCCAUGGGAACAAAUGCCUCAGGGAUUUGCUCACUCACUGGUGUCCUCAGGUAGAAAUAGAGGGAUGAUGUUGAUGAUGAUGACGAUGUUCGUGAUGAUUCUGGUGAUGAUGUCGAUAACUUGAAUGGGUGUUUCUGCAGUGCUUAAGAACUUUUCAUUUCUUUCCAUGCUCACACUACAGAAGAUAAGCAGAGGUGGGGCUUCCUGGGCUCCUUUAGAGUUAAGUUGAUGACAACAUCCUGCUGCCAGGCCUUCAAUUUCUCUUUCUGCUGCCGUGACCUUGGAGGCAACUGCUCUACAUGCACAGAGACAAGAUGCAGGGGAGCCAUCCACUCCCCAUCAGACUUUUUGUGCCUGAGAAAUAAACUUUAUUUGUGUUAUGCUGGGA